UACGAAGGGGGGCUAGCGUUGCUCGGAAUCACUGGGCGUAAAGCGCACGUAGGCGGCUUUCUAAGUCAGGGGGUGAAAUCCUGGAGCUCAACUCCAGAACUGCCUUUGAUACUGGAGAGCUUGAGUCCGGGAGAGGUGAGUGGAACUCCGAGUGUAGAGGUGAAAUUCGUAGAUAUUCGGAAGAACACCAGUGGCGAAGGCGGCUCACUGGCCCGGUACUGACGCUGAUGUGCGAAAGCGUGGGGAGCAAACAGG
rnacentral:rRNA from 1 species